rnacentral:rRNA from 1 species
AUUGCCUUAGUAGCGGCGAGUGAGCGGCAAUAGCUCAAAUUUGAAAUCUCGCGCUGUCUUCGGCGUCCGAGUUGUAAUUUGAAGAAGGUAUCUUUGAGGCUGGCUCUUGUCUAUGUUCCUUGGAACAGGACGUCACAGAGGGUGAGAAUCCCGUGCGAUGAGAUGCCCAGUUUCGUGUAAAGUUCCUUCGACGAGUCGAGUUGUUUGGGAAUGCAGCUCUAAGUGGGUGGUAAAUUCCAUCUAAAGCUAAAUAUUGGCGAGAGACCGAUAGCGAACAAGUACUGUGAAGGAAAGAUGAAAAGAACUUUGAAAAGAGAGUGAAAAAGUACGUGAAAUUGUUGAAAGGGAAGGGCUUGAGGUCAGACUUGGUUUACCAGGCCAGCAUCAGUUUGGGUGGCAGGAUAAUAGCUAAGGAAAGUGGCACGAUUUCGGUUGUGUGUUAUAGCCUUGGUUGAUACUGCCUGCCUAGACUGAGGACUGCGUCUUUGACUAGGAUGCUGGCAUAAUGACCUUAAGCCGCCCGUCUUGAAACACGGACCAAGGAGUCUAACGUCUAUGCGAGUGUUUGGGUGUAAAACCCGUACGCGUAAUGAAAGUGAACGUAGGUGAGAGCCUUAGGGUGCAUCAUCGACCGAUCCUGAUGUCUUCGG